CUAGCCAUUAAUAAGACCUCACAAUUUCUUAAUCCCGUUUCUGUUUCUUUCUUUCUUUAUUAAGAUGUUCUUAAAUAAGCAAUUCAUUUUUUUUUUUUUUUUUUUUUUUCGUUUAGGUAAUACUGCGGCUACCUGCAUGAGGGACGGACGUCUGUUAUGCAUGUUACAAAUUCAUGAAACCAAUAUUCAGCGAUCCGACCGCUGCGCCGCCAGUUUCCCUGUAAUACUGCGGCUACCUGCAUGAGGGACGGACGUCUGUUAUGCAUGUUACAAAUUCAUGAAACCAAUAUUCAGCGAUCCGACCGCUGCGCCGCCAGUUUCCCUGUAAUACUGCGGCUACCUGCAUGAGGGACGGACGUCUGUUAUGCAUGUUACAAAUUCAUGAAACCAAUAUUCAGCGAUCCGACCGCUGCGCCGCCAGUUUCCCUGUAAUACUGCGGCUACCUGCAUGAGGGACGGACGUCUGUUAUGCAUGUUACAAAUUCAUGAAACCAAUAUUCAGCGAUCCGACCGCUGCGCCGCCAGUUUCCCUGUAAUACUGCGGCUACCUGCAUGAGGGACGGACGUCUGUUAUGCAUGUUACAAAUUCAUGAAACCAAUAUUCAGCGAUCCGACCGCUGCGCCGCCAGUUUCCCUGUAAUACUGCGGCUACCUGCAUGAGGGACGGACGUCUGUUAUGCAUGUUACAAAUUCAUGAAACCAAUAUUCAGCGAUCCGACCGCUGCGCCGCCAGUUUCCCUGUAAUACUGCGGCUACCUGCAUGAGGGACGGACGUCUGUUAUGCAUGUUACAAAUUCAUGAAACCAAUAUUCAGCGAUCCGACCGCUGCGCCGCCAGUUUCCCUGUAAGAUUUCUUUUUAUUUAAUUAAAAUUUUCGUAACAUACAUGAAUGAAUUCCAUCGGAUAUUUUUUAGGAUAAUUCAUUUCGGUUCAUAUUUUUUUUUAAUUUAAAUUUUCGUUACAUACCUGAUUAGGUUUCAUCACAGUUUUUUGCUUAUAAUUUUUGUUUAACACCUAACACUUCUUUUGAGUAUCAUUUUCUUUUUCAUAACUAACAGUUCUUUUAUGUAUGUAUAUUUUUACUUACUUUAUUUUAAAUACAUACAUAUUUCA